rnacentral:rRNA from 1 species
AUUGAACGCUGGCGGCAUGCCUUACACAUGCAAGUCGAACGGCAGCACGGGUGCUUGCACCUGGUGGCGAGUGGCGAACGGGUGAGUAAUACAUCGGAACAUGUCCUGUAGUGGGGGAUAGCCCGGCGAAAGCCGGAUUAAUACCGCAUACGAUCUACGGAUGAAAGCGGGGGACCUUCGGGCCUCGCGCUAUAGGGUUGGCCGAUGGCUGAUUAGCUAGUUGGUGGGGUAAAGGCCUACCAAGGCGACGAUCAGUAGCUGGUCUGAGAGGACGACCAGCCACACUGGGACUGAGACACGGCCCAGACUCCUACGGGAGGCAGCAGUGGGGAAUUUUGGACAAUGGGCGAAAGCCUGAUCCAGCAAUGCCGCGUGUGUGAAGAAGGCCUUCGGGUUGUAAAGCACUUUUGUCCGGAAAGAAUUCCUUGGCUCUAAUACAGUCGGGGGAUGACGGUACCGGAAGAAUAAGCACCGGCUAACUACGUG